rnacentral:misc_RNA from 1 species
GUUUUAUUCUCAUCAUCUUCAAUGAUCCCCUCCAGAAAUAAAUAUUGAAGAGCUAUGGAGUAUUUGGCAGUCCUUGUCCUCUCAGAGUUCCCACUUCCCAAAUUACUGUUUUUUCUUAGAAGAAAUGAUCCCUUGCCAUCACCUUUGAUGGUGAAAAUGGAUGAAACCCAUCUUUUAUAGAUGAAGAGCGACCUUGGGGAGUCUCCAUGGUGGGUAUCAGAAAGCAAAAGCUUGCAGUGACCUUGCUCAUUCGCAUGCGUUACUGCAUUGUGGCACAAAGCAAGAAUCC